UCGUUGUUGUACAUCUCCUCCUCCGACCCCUGCCCCCCCCGGCAGUACAGGACCCCCACCUUGCGCUGGAAGCUCAGCUGCGGGCACGGCGACGGCUGGCACGGGGAGCCCCUCGUGCGAGCACGGCCCUUGUGCAAACAUCGCUCUUGUGCAAGCCCCGAAGUCGUGCAAGCUCUGUCCUCAUGCAAACCCCAGCCUGGUGCAAGCCAAGUCCUCGUGCAAACAUCGCUCUUGUGCAAGCCCCGAAGUCGUGCAAACACUGCCCUUGUGCAAGCUCUGCCCUCGUGCAAGCCCCAGCCUGGUGCAAGCGCUGCCCUUGUGCAAGC
rnacentral:lncRNA from 1 species